GGGGAUGUAGCUCAGUGGUAGAGUACUUAUCUAGCAUGCGGGAGGUCCUGUGUUCAAUCCCAGCACCACCA
rnacentral:tRNA from 1 species